CAAACUCGAGUUAUGAUUAGGUGAAAGAAUAAUCUAACAUAUGUACUAAUGUGGACUAUAUCUGUUUUUCAGGUGAUGGGGGUUACGGCUGCUACUCUUGGCUCCUUACUCCAUUGUCCCAACCUGAUUCUCCUGCUGAACACAGUUACAAUCAUGCACAUAAGGCUACGCGGAAUGUGAUAGAAAGAUGUUUUGGUGUGCUGAAGUCACGGUUUCGGUGUCUGGAUAAAUCUGCUGGCCUUUUGUUGUAUAGUCCCUCAAAGAUAACUGAGGGGAUCGGGGCUCAUCACUCUGCGAACUCGCCAAUAGUGCCAGUGGUGGCUGGGGUGACACUGCCGAAAGUCGUCGCCUGGGUGGGGAUGAUGGAGCCGCAGAUUCCGAGCCAAGACGCCGUGUCUUACUUGGCCUCCUGGAAUAUGUGACUACACUGAAGUCUUACCUGCAAUCCCAGCCUCAUCCUGACUUGUCUGAGGCCUGUCUGGCCGGCUGGUCUGUGGGAC